GAUGCAGCGCACGGGCGAG
rnacentral:miRNA from 1 species